rnacentral:rRNA from 1 species
UGGGGAAUAUUGGACAAUGGGCGAAAGCCUGAUCCAGCAAUGCCGCGUGAGUGAUGAAGGCCUUAGGGUUGUAAAGCUCUUUUACCCGGGAUGAUAAUGACAGUACCGGGAGAAUAAGCCCGGCUAGCUCCGUGCCAGCAGCCGCGGUAAUACGGAGGGGCGUAGCGUUGUUCGGAAUUACUGGGCGUAAAGCGCACGUAGGCGGCUCUGUAAGUUAGAGGUGAAAGCCCGGGGCUCAACUCCGGAAUUGCCUUUAAGACUGCAUCGCUAGAAUUGUGGAGAGGUAGUGGAAUUCCGAGUGUAGAGGUGAAAUUCGUAGAUAUUCGGAAGAACACCAGUGGCGAAGGCGACACCCUGGACCAGCACUGACACUGAGGCACGAAAGCGUGGGGAGCAAACA